rnacentral:rRNA from 1 species
AGUAGGGCGGGACACGUGGUAUCCUGUCUGAAUAUGGGGGGACCAUCCUCCAAGGCUAAAUACUCCUGACUGACCGAUAGUGAACCAGUACCGUGAGGGAAAGGCGAAAAGAACCCCGGCGAGGGGAGUGAAAAAGAACCUGAAACCGUGUACGUACAAGCAGUGGGAGCCUCUUUAUGGGGUGACUGCGUACCUUUUGUAUAAUGGGUCAGCGACUUAU